GAUAAUAUAAUGUACUUGAAAUAUAUUAAUAAUAUAUAUUAAAUUUAAUAUUCAAUAGUUAAUAAUUCAUAUGAUGUAAUCUCAACAUAACUAAUACUCACAUAAUUAAACCCUGCAUAACUAAUAUCUACAUAACUAAACCCCACUCUUAAACCCUACAUAAUUAAACCAUGCAUAACUAGUACCUGCAUAAAUCUAAACAGCAACCAAACAGCCCCUACCACCAUAGAGAAGAAAGUGCAGCAACAUACCAAGUAUGAUCCCACAAGUAGGUUUAGGAGGUUAGUGUGCGCGCAGACUUUAUCCUUACAAGGUAAAGAGUAAUAGCCUCUACAGCAAAAAAGAACCAUCCAACAAUUGUCAGUGUGCAACCAUAUAACUAGUUCUUACAACACUAAAUCAAAACACUAGGAUACACACCCCAACAAAAAAAAAAAAAAGUAGAAUCACAUGCAAUUCUUCCAAAUAACGAGAGGAUGUAGAGAAAAUUGAACCACCAAUCCAAACAUUCCUUUCAAUCUGCAAAUCAUCCCAAUAAUUAAAUAGCACAAUCACACUGCAUUGAGCUUUAAUCUACACACAGCACAUAUGCAUAUGUUGCUUUUGAAUGUAAAAGCAAUUGCAUAUCACAUUAGGAAAAACAACCUAUUGUAACACCCGUGUCGGAUCCUCCAAAAAUGCGAGGAUCUAACUGACCAAAUGAUUGACAAUGUUUGUUUUUUAAAAAUGAAAUACAUCAUUUAUGCCAGAUAUCAAUGGCUUCAAAGUAGAACCAUACAUUAAGAGGAAACAAGCAUACUAAAAUUUUGCAUGUUCAAUACCCAGAUAAAGCAUGAGGGUCGUGGAGCAUACUGACGACCCAUGUAAAAGAGUCUAAACAUGGUGAAGCUAUACUGAAAGAAGAGAAUUAGGUGUAGUUGAUGAUUUGAAACAAGGGAAAAGAAUCCUCAGAAACCUUUUUCAAAUCACACACCCAACAUUGGUUGGAGUGUCAUUCGGCACUUGCAAUAUAAGCAUUCAUCAUUGGAUUCUAAAUAAGUACAACUGCACUGUUCUAGUGGAUUAACCCAACAAUACAUACAGUGAACGACUACAAUUGUAAACGCCCAACAGAUUCAAACUAGUAACUAGAAGAAUCAUCACCGACACUAGCAAAAUGGCAUUCUGCACCACAAUAAAGAAGUCACAAACAUAACAUACGCUAGUGAAAGAUUUCAUACUUUUGUUAGUGAUAGUGUAGUAAGAACCGUUCAGCUACAAUACAGCAUCAUUACACUAAGAAUGAUUAUGAACUCAACAAGAUGCACUACCAACCAAAAUAAAACAAAUUUGAUUACUCUAGUUUACCAUUUACUUCCCCUUUGCAGACCCUCACUUUGCUCUCUUGGUGACUCAAAUCCACAAUCUCAAGGUUGGGUGAAACUCUCUACAAUAUCCUCCAACGGUUCAGUUCCAAACCUCACAUAACUUCUCCUUUAGAUUUCCACGAGCCUCCUAAGCUACUUCUAACCUCCUUGUUCCUGUUAUUCCUUUCAUCUUAUCAAAACAUUGAUAACAAUUUUUAGACCAAAUGGGAAUAACAGGAGAGCCCAACCCAAAAGACUAGUUUGAUAGUGGGAGAACCUAUUUAUAGCCUAAAAAUCCAUUAGCAUUUCUCUAUUUAUUCGAUGAGGGACAAUUGGCACAUAAAGUAAUUAAGGAUUAAGUGUAGUUGAUGAUUUGAAACAAGGGAAAAGAAUCCUCAGAAACCUUUUUCAAAUCACACAUCCAACAUUGGUUGGAGUGUCAUUCGGCACUUGCAAUAUAAGCAUUCAUCAUUGGAUUCUGAACAAGUACAACUGCACUGUUCUAGUCAAAUCACCCAAUAGUAUAUACCGCGAACCACUACAAUUGUAUCCGCCCAACAGAUUCAAACUAGUAACUAAAACAAUCAUCACCGACACUUGCAAAAUGGCAUUCUGCACCACAAUAAAGCAGUAACAAACAGAUACAUACACAAGUGGAAGAUUUCAUACUUCUGUUGGUGAUAGAUAGUGUUGUAAGAACCGUUAAGCUACAAUACAACAGCAUUAUUACACUACAAAUGAACCCAACAGCCUGCGUUUAAAGGGAAAUCUUAGUAGAUCAGCUAGAUGACUACCUAAAUUUUCAAUUUGUUGGUGAGGAUUCAAUUUUCCACCUUGUAAUCUCCUCCCUUGUUUUUUAUGAAACUGGUAACUUAAUCCCCUCCCCAUUUUCCCUUCCCCUACACCAAAUUGAAGAAAAAAAGAUGCACUACCAAACAAAAUAAAACAAAUUUGAGUACUCUAGUUUACCAUUUACUUCCCCUUUACAGAGCUUAUCCUUUUUUCCUCCCUAGUAGCUCGCCCACUUUGGUCUCUUAGUAACUCGAACUCAUAACCUCAAGGUUGGAAGUAAAGGGUGCUUACUACUCGAGCUAGCGGAGCCUAACACUAUAAAACUUAUCAAAGCAUUUUCACUCGCCUUUGUUAAUUACCAAAAUCACCUGAACUACAACAACAUACUGGUGUAAUCACACAAAGUGAGGUCUGGGGACGAUAGUGUGUAGGACCUUACCCCUUGUUUCGAACCGACUGAAAAACAGUUCGUUAAAGGAAAAUAACCAAAACUACGAUUCUGAAAUAACAGAUUAAUCCAGAACCCUCUACUACAUGAACAAUGAGGUAAAUGCAUAACUGCUAGACGCCGAACCCACUACUACAUGAUGAACAAUAAACUAAAUUAGCAAUAUCAGCUACACAUAUUUCAUUAUAGUAAAGAAACAUGGUUACACAAGAGAGAACCCAGAACCCAGAACCCAGGAGGGAACAAAGAGAAAUAACAACGAGCUCACCAUUUUGGUGUUUGAGGAAGUAGGAAAAUGUGAAUUUUGGGAAUGCGG
rnacentral:lncRNA from 1 species